rnacentral:rRNA from 1 species
ACGCUCGACACCUACGGGAGGCAGCAGUGAGGAAUAUUGGUCAAUGGGCGCUAGCCUGAACCAGCCAAGUAGCGUGAAGGAUGAAGGCUCUAUGGGUCGUAAACUUCUUUUAUAUAAGAAUAAAGUGCAGUAUGUAUACUGUUUUGUAUGUAUUAUAUGAAUAAGGNUCGGCUAACUCCGUGCCACAGCCGCGGUAAUCUGAGCGGCUGGCAAGGC